GAUGAACGCUGGCGGCGUGCUUAACACAUGCCAGUCGAACGAUGAUGCCCAGCUUGCUGGGUGGAUUAGUGGCGAACGGGUGAGUAACACGUGAGUAACCUGCCCUUGACUCUGGGAUAAGCCUGGGGAACUGGGUCUAAUACCGGAUACGACCAUCUGGCGCAUGUCAUGGUGGUGGAAAGCUUUUGUGGUUUUGGAUGGACUCGCGGCCUAUCAGCUUGUUGGUGGGGUAAUGGCCUACCAAGGCGACGACGGGUAGCCGGCCUGAGAGGGUGACCGGCCACACUGGGACUGAGACACGGCCCAGACUCCUACGGGAGGCAGCAGUGGGGAAUAUUGCACAAUGGGCGCAAGCCUGAUGCAGCGACGCCGCGUGAGGGAUGACGGCCUUCGGGUUGUAAACCUCUUUCAGUAGGGAAGAAGCGAAAGUGACGGUACCUGCAGAAGAAGCGCCGGCUAACUACGUG
rnacentral:rRNA from 1 species